AUCUGGCUUAGUUAGGAGGCAAACAUUAAUCUGAUCAAUCAAUACUGUUCUGUAUUGUUUGUUGGUCGUUUGACUUGAGGCUUUUUUUUGUUUUUCUUUGAGGAGGAGCUUCUGUUUUUCUUCAGUUCAACCUUCUUCUUAUGAAAAGUGCUUCAGACAUUA